rnacentral:rRNA from 1 species
UACGGAGGGUGCAAGCGUUGUUCGGAAUUAUUGGGCGUAAAGCGCGCGCAGGCGGCCUUUUAAGUCUGAUGUGAAAACCCUCGGCUCAACCGAGGACGUGCAUUGGAUACUGGAAGGCUUGAGUCUCGGAGAGGGAAGCGGAAUUCCCAGUGUAGAGGUGAAAUUCGUAGAUAUUGGGAGGAACACCGGUGGCGAAGGCGGCUUCCUGGACGAUGACUGACGCUGAGGCGCGAAAGCGUGGGUAGCAAACAGG